UUUCUUUCUCAAUGCUGACAAACCAUUUUGGAGGGAACCAUCCCCUGUUGCUUCCUAUCAUCGAUCCCCGUGCAAGCCCCUGCAUUGUGCAAGUGCAUUAAUUAAAGACCAUUCAUUUAACAAAAGCACAUUGUAUGUUCAGGAAAGGAAGAUUAGAAAUAUGAAUCAGUAACCAAAGCCCAUUUCCGCCACGAUAUCGGGAGAAGUGGUGGGGCGGGAGGGGCGGUCAGACACGCCGAGAAGGACGGAGCAGUUUGGGACAGAAGCCCUGAACCGGUUUACAUUGCGAAGAGCCCGUUGUCAGUGUCUCAAUGUGCAGCGUUCUGCCCGGCCCUCCCCUCUCCUUUCCGAGGGGUCGAACCCGCAGUGACCCGGGGCUGAGCCCCUGCCCGGGGACCAUCGCCCCAAAUGGGAUUUUCCAGCUGUCUCUGUGCACACACAUAGGGGCACAGGCACACGCACGCUUACUCAUCCUUCCCCAGCCCUUCCCCAUUAGAUUUUUGCAGCCCAAAGGAAAACCCAGCUGGUCUGGCCAGGCCGGCCGCGACACGAGCGUGGCUUAUCGCGAUAAGGUGGAAGAGGAGCACGGAGGUUACGCGGGGGAAGGAGAGAAGCCGGCUCCCCAGCAUCGCCCACAUGACUGCUAAGCGGCUCCAGCUCCGCUAAAACCUCUGGGCCAUAUGUUAGUUUAUUUAUACCCUUUGUCUUUUCCCGUGUCGCCUGGUGCAAGGAUAUUCCUGGGAUACAAAUGAAAGUAAGCAAGAGUGAACAAACACGGGAGUGCCUGCUAAAGGGAUAUGUAACAUCGCAGAGAUCCCAACAGAGCACGGCGUUCCCAUGGUUAUAAAGGGGCCAGAAUGGCAAUUAAAGCUUUUAGUUAAAACCCUCAGAUUUUUAAUGCUGAAUGACACAUUGACUCCAUUUUCUGGUGGAUGAUUUAGAGUUUUUCACGAUUACUCUGGGGAAGGAGAAGGAGGGGGGACAACAAAAGUCACCACAAAAAAAACCCAACUCUUUCACAUUAAAAAACAAAAACAAAACCCAACCAAACAACGAACCAGCACGAGAUCAAGGUGUUCCUAAUGAUGGCAACAGCAUAUAAAAACCUCUGCAGUUUCCCCGUGACUCUGAAUUGGGUCUCGUCGUGUUCUGAGCGGUUCGAGGAAUGGGAGAGGGUCGGGACCCGCGGCUCUGGGCAUCGGGCUCCUUCCUCAGCCGCGGCUGGGAUCACGUUGGGUCAAUGCCACCCGGAGGAUCGGCUCCUCGCCGCUGCCAAACCUUCUCCGGGUCGCUGUGUCAGUGAUGCGCGGACGUGGAGAGACACCCCGGGGUGCACGGGGGGAGGGUGGGAGUCCCGACAGCGUUCCCCGACGGCACUGCACUGCCAGCGGCCCCUGCCCCCACUCUGCUGCCCCUCGGGAUACCUGCUUGAGCCCGCCCUGAAGCCAAACAAAAGCGCACAUCUCCCCCCUUCCUCCCUCCCUCCUUCCCUCCCUCCCCACCCAGCAGUUUCGGGAAGACAAAAAAAAAAAAAAAAAAAAAAAAAAAAAAAAAAAAAAAUUCUCCAACUUUUGACCAGCCUCUGCUGGCUUAAAUUAUCCUCUACCCUGGGGGGCAUCAGUGUAGCAAUGGGAGUUCCCGCGGGCGGCGGGGAAACGGGGUGCAGCUGAACUCGGGCAUAGCCGGGCUGCUCUGCCGCUGCCCUGCUGCUCCUCCAGGGCCGGGGGUGGUGGGGCUGGAAGUCCUGGAAGGGAACUCAGAGGGAGGGCUCGAAGGGGAGGUUUUGUUCUCUCUACCUGAAGACGGAUUAAUCCUCGCGUAUAGCUGAUAAAGAUGAAGAUCUUGCUGGGAGAAUGGGGAAAAAUCGGUAGGAAAAGAAGGAAGGAGUCACUGGAUUGUUAUUGUCUGGAAAGCAGGCCACCUUUAAAAACCUGUUGUAGAAAUACAGAGACUCCUUUAAGUGUGAAAUAUCAUUUCAUUGUAAAUAGCCAAAAAAGAGUCGGUAAUCCAACUUCCGGAAACUGUUCUGAAUUAUUUCAGCAGACUCUUUUAAAAGGGGAUUAGCAGGGCUUUAGGGGCAAAAUCCUUCUGUUUUAUUCAAUCUCUGAUUUUAUGUUAUAAUUACUAGAUGUAAAGACUCGCGAAUUAGUAUGCAGGCGUCGUCCAGACAUUAUGCAGGUGCUAUUCUAAUCAUUCAGCUUUUUAAUUAAGGAACGAGGUAAGAAAACAGAAUCAUAAAAACACUUUUGUGAGAGCUGAGAAAAUCGUGAGCGACUGCAUGAAUAAAGCCUUUAUACCUUACCCUGACAGGUCAGACACCAAUUGCCUGACUUACGACCUUUUCUUGCUGAAACAAUGGUUAACAGCUUUCUCACCUUGUUCCCAUUAUAGCCUUUAUUCUCGGAGAGAAUUUAUGGAAAUGGCCCCCAAAUGCUUACGCUAAAGAGGGGAUGCAGAAAGAUAUUGCAAUUUUAAUUGGUGCGUGUCCCGUGUAAAGAUACUUUCUUUGUGGGUCGUUCUGAAGCGGAGGGUCUCAGUCCGGCACGGGAAUUUGGGCGGACCGAGGUGCUUUGAGGGGGAGCACAGCAGCCCAGCGCCGCUGGAAGUUGCCGGGAUGCCCGGGCAGCCGGAGCGGCGGGGCCGGCGCCGGUCCCCCUUUGUUCAGCGCAUCAGAAGGCAUCGUGCUCCUUGAUCCCGCAAUGCAAACUUCAAGCCUUUGUGGUCUUU
ensembl:lncRNA